UACGUAGGGGGCUAGCGUUAUCCGGAAUUACUGGGCGUAAAGGGUGCGUAGGCGGUCUUUCAAGCCAGAAGUGAAAGGCUACGGCUCAACCGUAGUAAGCUUUUGGAACUGUAAGACUUGAGUGCAGGAGAGGAGAGUGGAAUUCCUAGUGUAGCGGUGAAAUGCGUAGAUAUUAGGAGGAACACCAGUGGCGAAGGCGGCUUUCUGGACUGUAACUGACGCUGAGGCACGAAAGCGUGGGGAGCAAACAGGAUUAGAUACCCCCGUAGUCCCUGAG
rnacentral:rRNA from 1 species